rnacentral:rRNA from 1 species
AUUGAACGCUGGCGGCAGGCCUAACACAUGCAAGUCGAACGAGUGGCGGACGGGUGAGUAAUGUCUGGGAAACUGCCUGAUGGAGGGGGAUAACUACUGGAAACGGUAGCUAAUACCGCAUACCCUCAGAUGUGCCCAGAUGGGAUUAGCUAGUUGGUGGGGUAACGGCGCACCAGGGCGACGAUCCCUAGCUGGUCUGAGAGGAUGACCAGCCACCCGGGAACGGAGACACGGUCCAGACGCCUACGUGAGGCAGCAGUGGGGAAUAUGGCACAAUGGGCGCAAGCGUGAUGCAGCGAUGCCGCGUGUAUGAAGAAGGCCUUCGGGUUGUAAAGUACUUUCAGCGGGGAGGCGUUACCCGCAGAAGAAGCACCGGCUAACUCCGUGCCAGCAGCCGCGGUAAUUC